GACGAACGCUGGCGGCGUGCUUAACACAUGCAAGUCGAACGGAAAGGCCCUGCUUUUGUGGGGUGCUCGAGUGGCGAACGGGUGAGUAACACGUGAGUAACCUGCCCUUGACUUUGGGAUAACUUCAGGAAACUGGGGCUAAUACCGGAUAGGAGCUCCUGCUGCAUGGUGGGGGUUGGAAAGUUUCGGCGGUUGGGGAUGGACUCGCGGCUUAUCAGCUUGUUGGUGGGGUAGUGGCUUACCAAGGCUUUGACGGGUAGCCGGCCUGAGAGGGUGACCGGCCACAUUGGGACUGAGAGACGGCCCAGACUCCGACGGGAGGCAGCAGUGGGGAAUAUUGCACAAUGGGCGGAAGCCUGAGGCAGCAACGCCGCGUGCGGGAGGACGGCCUUCGGGUUGUAAACCGCUUUCGCCUGUGACGAAGCGUGAGUGACGGUAAUGGGUAAAGAAGCACCGGCUAACUACGU
rnacentral:rRNA from 1 species